rnacentral:rRNA from 1 species
GACGGUGUCCCAGCCAACUAGAGGAGCCUGUCCUAUAAUCGAUGAUCCACGUUUCACCUGACCCCCCCUUGCCCCCACAGUCUGUAUACCUCCGUCGUAAACCCGCCAUUUGAGUGACCCUCAGCGGAUUCAAUGGCCCUAUCGCAAAUACGUCAGGUCAAGGUGCAGCCCACGGGGGGAGAAGUGAUGGGCUACAAUUUCUAGUUUAGAACAAACGAAAUACUGCAUGAAACACAUUCAUGAAGGAGGAUUUAGUAGUAAAAAGAAAAUAGCAUAUUCUUUUUAACAUGGCUCUGGGACGUGUACACACCGC